rnacentral:rRNA from 1 species
AGGAUGAACGCUGGCGGCGUGCCUAACACAUGCAAGUCGAACGUCCUGUCUCGCAAGAGGCAGGGAGUGGCGGACGGGUGAGUACCACGUGGGUCAUCUACCGUGAGGUGAGGAAUACCGGCGAGAAAUCGCCGACAAGACCGCAUAGGCUCGAUGCAAGUCGAGCAAAGCUCUUUCGAGAGAGGGAGCGCCACACGAGGAGCCUGCGCCCGAUUAGCUAGCUGGUGGAGUAACGGUUCACCAGGGCGACGAUCGGUAGCUGGUCUGAGAGGACGAUCAGCCACACUGGGAUUGAGAACGGCCCAGACUCCUACGGGGGGCAGCAGUGAGGAAUUUUCGUCAAUGGGGGCAACCCCGAACGAGCAACGCCGCGUGCAGGAAGAAGGUUUUCGGAUCGUAAACUGCUUUUCUCGGGAAGAGAAUGGACGGUACCCGAGGAAUCGGCCCCGGCUAACUACGUGCCAGCAGCCGC